UCUGAUUUUCCACCGACAGCUGGUAGCAAUAAUACUAAGCUGGAUAGACCAGUGAUUGAACAUGGUCUGAAGCACUUCCCAUUCAGGGCUCAAGAAUGCAUAACAAGAGAAAUUUAACCCUAAAUUUUCCUAAGAAUGACAUCCAGAAGACCCUCAAGUAGGCCGAAUGUUUGUUUUUACAAGAUUUAAGCAGCAUUAUUUCCAAGAUUUUGAAAACAUAUUCAGUGAAACACAUGAAGGAGUCGAAGUGGUUGUGAGCAGCUACUGAGAAUGGAGCUGCGUUGGUUACCAAUUUUCUUCAGGAUGCACUUCAAGAUACUGGUUUUCACAUUUAAAUCCUUUCAUGGCUUGGGACCACGUUAUCUGAGGAACUAUCUCUUGCUGGUCACAUCUACCUGACUCACUAGAGUGAGGAAGCAAGGAAUAUUGUGUGUCCUGUCCCCUAAGGAGGUACAUCUGGCGGGACCCAGAAGAGGGGCCUUCUUCAUGGUGGCUCCCUCCCUCUGGAACAUUAUCCCUCCAGAAAUUAGACUGGCUUCCUCUCGGACAUUAUUUCAUAUGCCUCUAAAGACGCGAUUUUGCCAAAGGGCUUGGGGAACCUACAAUGGGUUGGAGCCCUAUAUAAAUGGUUGAUUUAAGUGUGUGUUGUCACCAAGGGAGUGUGGGAGUUAUUCUUUUAUUUUUUAUUUUUUUUAUUUUUUCCACAUUGUGUUUUUAUUAUCUGUAAGCCACCUAGAGUUGCUGUGAGUAGGCAGCUAUAUAGCUAUAUAGGCCAUAUAGUGAAUAGGCAGCGAAUAAAAAAAAUGAAAUAUCAAUUAUUUAAUUAUACCAAAUAGUAACCUAGCCAUUUUUAGAGCAAUAAGCCAUCUAGUUGUAUUUACCCAAAGUAAAAGUUUCUUUUUUUCUCUAUCUUUCUGGAAAGUCCAGAAGCAGUUUCUAAGUAAUUACAAAACAAUUUACAUUCUUGUUUCUUAAUUAGUGCAGUCAACUUCACCAUCUCCAUCAAUUCUAUUAUCUUUUCAACCCAUUCCUCCAUUGUAGAAGUUAAUGCUUCUUUCAAUUUCUGAGUAUAUAAAAUUCUAUUUCCCCCCCACUAUUUGUUUCUCUAAUAGUAUAGUCCUAACAGAAAUUUUCUGAUCUCCAUUUUUCUACAUUAAACCAUGGAUCUGUAUCCACUACCUUGUCAUAUAUCCACCACAUAUGAUAAAAAGUACCCUCUUUACACUUGCAUUUCUAACAAAUAUUUGAAACAUUCUUGUACAUCUUUGAAGGUUUAUAUAUUGCUAUAGAAAUGGCCAGUAGUUACCACAGGUACAUUAUUUUAUAGAAUGCUUACUAUUUUUCUGAUAGUAAAUCAAAACAUUGACUUUAGCAAAAGUAGAAGAGGCUGGAAGAUCCUUUUGUUGUAGUGAUUUUGCAAAAGUCAGUCAAUCUUGAGAACAUUCAAUAAUAUUCCCAAUCUUUUUUUAUUUAAGGAGUAUAGCUCUGAGGAUCACUGGAAAUUUUUGAGAAAUAAUUUUGUACUGUAAUAUUUUCAAUAUAGCUAAACAUCAAAAAUUAUUAUUUUUAAAGGCUUCAGGGAAAAACAGGUAUCUAAAAACUGCUGGCAACUUAUUUACUGUAAUGAAGACAGUCAAAGUUUGUAACAGUCCACUCUGAUUGUCAAAUCAACAGUUUUCGGUGAAGAUGGUCUACUCAUCACAUGACCAUGCAGAGAUUUGAAGGGUUUUUCUCCACUUUUUCAACUUAGUAACAGAACCAACCAACAUUCCUUUAGUUUAUACGACUCUCCUGGAUUAGGGAGUCCUAGAAUCAUCCCACAAAAUCUCCAUACAACAAAGGACUGAAAGUAACUUCAGGAACUGGGCUUUGGAGUGAGGGAUAAGCUGGCAGCUGCUGGUUCCGAAUUUAUUUUUCAAACAGACAAUAAGUUGUGGCUUUCAUUUCUUAAUCAUUUUUAAUAACUAUUAAUCUUUGUUAAGCUAAGAGAGGUUCUCUUUAGCCACUGCUUGUUAUUCCUUUUUGAAGAUCUGCAUCAUUUUGGAGAUUUCUUUAUUGUUAAAGGAGGAAGAGGGUUGCUGAAGGCAAGUUAAAAUAAGGAAAUAAGGAAGUAUCUUUAAAAAAAAACUUUAAUACAGAAAUUAAGGUAGAAAGCUGUGGUUUUAUUUUACUAUUUUUAAGUAAUUUGUAACUUGAUCUGUGGGUAGUUAAAACUCUUUGAUUUAUAGGAAUCCUUAUUGGGCAAUAAUUUUUAAGUGAUCUGCAGGAAAAAAAAAACCUCUUUAGCCAAAGAGAGUGUUAAGGGGGAGGAGCAAUUAUUAGAGAUGUAUUUGAAAAUUUUUAAAAUAAAGCUUACCCAUUUAUAGGCGAGCUAUGUUCCAGAGAUGUUAAAAAAAACUACUCCAACUACUUCAUAUAAGCAAUUAUGUAUAGAAAGCUACCAUAUCACUGAGGCAAUUUCACAAGUAUCUGAUAAUGCAAAGGACUCAAUUGCAAUUUUGGAACAUAAAUCUGACACCAAUCUUCAUUAUGAUGGUUUAAAUAUAAACCUCCCAACACAAUUAAAAGAAAUUCCAAGAAAAUCUGAAACUUUCAAGGAGAUAAGUCUGGGACUUUUUCUUCAUGGAUACUAACAAGGUUGAGAAAUCCUUGAGAAAAAGAGGUGGUUAUAAGAUAGAUAUUCGAUAGAUAUUCCAGAGAACAAAAAAUUUAUUUUAUGAAGGAAAGUUGAAAGGAGUGACUUAAACCUAAUGAGUUAACUGGAAUUAAGAUGUAUUUUUAUCAGUCUGAUAUAUGUACAGUAAUUGAAAGAAUGUUUUAAUAUAAAAUGGGGUUGAAAAUGCAUUUCUUUUUCUUUAUAUAUAAUGCUUAAGUAAUUCCUAAAGCUUGUAAAAUAUUAUUGAAAGGGUAUUUGAAAGUAUCUAAAUUAAGAGGAAGUUAAAAAGAUAUAUUCAUUUAAAGCAAAGUUUAGAAUCAUAAAAUGGGCACAUACAAGAAAAAAUAUUUUAUCUUAUGAGGAUAACGGUGAGAAUAAUUUAAAUUUAAG